ensembl:lncRNA
GGGAAACACUCCAACACUCCAACACUCAGACAUCAUUUACAGAUAGCUAGGGGUACACUCCAACACUCAGACAUCAUUUACAAACACAGUAUUUGUGUUUAGUGAGUCCUCCAGAUCAGCGGCAGUAGGCAUGACAACGCGUUAUAUUGAUAGGUGUGUGAAUUGGACCAUUCUGCCUGAGCAAUCGAAAUGUAAGCAGUACUUUUGGGUUUCGGUGAAAAUGUAUGGGAGUACAAAGUACAUAUUUUCUUUAGGAAUGUAGUGAAGUAAAAGUAAAAAAAUUGUCACAAAUAUAAAUAGUAUAGUAAAGUACAGAUACCGCAAAAAAACGACUUAAGUAGAAGUAUUUUUACUUAAGUACUUUCCACCACUGAGUAGUAGACACAAUCAUUUGAUUUUCCAUGUUCAGGAAGUGUUUUACUCAUUUCAAAUCAACUUGAAACAACACAUUUAGUGUCUGUUUGGCUCCCAGACCACAUCUGAGGUCAUGGAAGAAGAAUUCAUGAAUUACCCAGUACUUUAUCAGACUAAAAACAAACAAUAAUAAUGACUUUGGGAUAAUAAAGCUUGAUUUAAACAGGCACUGUGUUGUAAUAUUUAUUUAAUAUCUCUGUGUAAUGUGUGGACUGGCUUCUGUAUUUAUCUAGUAGAGUGAAAUUGCUCCCGAGUGGCUCAACAGUCUAAGGCACUGCAACUCACUACUAGAGGCAUCAAUUACAGACCCUGGUUCGAUCCCGGGCUGCAUCAUAACUGGCUGUGAUCGGGAGUUCUGUGUUUCUACCUGGUUCUCAUGCUGAUGGAGUUUUUAAAAGGACACACAGAGAGAGAGAGAAAGAGAGAUAUGCAUAAUUGGUCCAGCGUUGUCCGGGUUAGGGGAGGGUUUGGCCGUGGUGGGCCGUCAUUGUAAAAUAAGAAUUUGUUCUUAAUUAACAAACUUGCCUAAUUUAAAAAAAGUUUAAAUGAACAAAUAGAGUUAGUUUGGGAAACGUAGGCAUUACAUAUUUCACCUUGUAUUUGACUUUGGCCCUAGGAAGUAAUUACUGUCAUUUAGACAUGAUUGCAAUUAUUCAACAAAUCUCUCUUUCUCUCUUUCAGCAUGAGAACCAGGUAGAAACAGGUAUAUGUGCACACACAGCCUCUCAGACCCAGCCCAACUCAGUGUUCAGCAAGCUUAGUGAUGUGCCUUACAUGGUGUGCCAGAAGAGGCUGUCUCUGGGUGGAUCAAACACAGACCUCUCUCUCUUUGGCAGGUACAAAACCGCCAAGUCUCUGUCAGGUCUCUAGUAAUAACUGACCAGGUCUCUAGUAUUAACUAACCAGGUCUCUGUCAGGUCCCUAGUAAUAUCUGACUAGGUCUGUCAGGUCUCUAGUAAUAACUGACCAGGUCUCUAGUAAUAACUGACCAGGUCUCUGUCAGGUCCCUAGUAAUAUCUGACUAGGUCUGUCAGGUCUCUAGUAAUAAUUGACCCUGUCUGUCAGGUCUCUAGUAAUAACUGACCAAGUCUCUGUCAGGUCUCUAGUAAUAACUGACCAAGUCUCUGUCAGGUCCCUAGUAUUAUCUGACUAGGCCUGUCAGGUCCCUAGUAAUAUCUGACCAGGUCUGUCAGGUCUCUAGUAAUAUCUGACCAGGUCUGUCAGGUCUCUAGUAAUAACUGACCAGGUCUGUCAGGUCUCUAGUAAUAACUAACCAGGUCUCUGUCAGGUCUCUAGUAAUGACUGACCAGGUCUCUGUCAUGUCCCUAGUAAUAUCUGACCAGGUCUGUCAGGUCUCUAGUAAUAUCUGACCAGGUCUGUCAGGUCUCUAGUAAUAACUGACCAGGUCUGUCAGGUCUCUAGUAAUAACUAACCAGGUCUCUGUCAGGUCUCUAGUAAUAACUGACCAGGUCUGUUGGGUCUCUAGUAAUAACUGACCUGGUCUCUCAGGUCUCUAGUAAUAACUGACCAGGUCUCUAGUAAUAACUGACCAGGUCUCUGUCAGGUCUCUAGUAAUAACUGACCAGGUCUCUGUCAGGUCCCUAGUAAUAACUGACCAGGUCUGUCAGGUCUCUAGUAAUAACUGAUCAGGUCUGUCAGGUCCCUGGUAAUAACUGACCAGGUAUCUGCUAGGUCUGUAGUAAUAACUGACCAAGUCUCUGCCAGGUCUCUAGUAAUAACUGACCAGGUCUGCCAGGUCUCUAGUAAUAACUGACCAGGUCUGUCAGGUCUCUAGUAAUAACUGACCAGGUCUCUGUCAGGUCUCUAAUAAUAACUGACCAGGUCUGUCAGGUCUCUAGUAAUAACUGACCAGGUCUCUGUCAGGUCUCUAAUAAUAACUGACCAGGUCUGUCAGGUCCCUAGUAAUAUCUGACCUCCCUAUUUCUUCUACAGUCCAGCUUUAUUUUCCCUACUACCUCAAACAUCUAUCUGCCAGCAGCAGCACAGCUGUUCAAAUACUGUAGGUUAAAAAACACAACUCAAGGCUGCCUCCAAAAUGGCACCUUAUUCCCCAUUUUCCUAUGUACCCUGUCCAAAAGUACUGCACUAUUUAUACUAUACUGAACAGAAUUGUACGUCCAAAAUGUAAAGUGUUGGUCACAUGUUUCAUAAAAGAUCACAGAAAUGUUCCAUAUGCCCCAAAAAAUUAUUUCUCAAAAAUGUUGUGCACAAAUUAUUUUUCCAUCCCUGUCAUUGAGCUUUUCUCCGUUACCAUGGUAAUCCAUACAGCUGACAGGUGUGUCAUAUCAAGAAGCUGAUUAAACAGCAUGAGGUGCACAGGUGCACCUUGUGCUGGGGACAAUAAAAGGCCACUAAAAUAUACAGUUUUGUCACAUAAUUCAAUGCCACAGAUGUUUUUGAAGGAGAGUGCAAUUGGCAUGCUGACUGCAGGAAAUGUCCACCAGAGCUGUUGCCAGAGACUUUAAUGUUAAUUUCUCUACCAUAAGCCGACUCCAAAGUCAUUUUAGAGAAUUUGGCAGUACGUCCAACCGGCAGACCACAUGUAACUUGGAAACCAUGGCUCCCGAGUGGCGCAGUGGUCUAAGGCACUGCGCCAUAAGGAUUCAUAUAUCCUUAUGUACAUAUUCUUUAUCCCCUUACACUGUGUAUAAGACAGUAGUUUUUUGGAAUUGUUAGUUAGAUUACUUGUUCGUUAUUACUGCAUUGUCGGAACUAGAAGCACAAGCAUUUCGCUACACUCGCAUUAACAUCUGCUAACCAUGUGUAUGUGACAAAUAAAAUUUGAUUUGAUUUGAUUUGAUUAGAGGCGUCACGACAGACACCCUGGUUCGAUUCCAGGCGGUAUCACAAUUGGCUGUGAUUGGGAGUCCCAUAGGGUGACGCACAAUUGGCCCCGCGUCGUCCAGGUUUGGCCGGUGUCAUUGUAAAUAAGAAUUUGAUCAUAACUGACUUGACUAGUUAAAUAAAGGUUACAUUUAAAAAAGUUAAACAAAUAAGUACACGCUGGCCCAGAACAUUGACAUCUGGCUUCUUCACCUGAGGGAUCGUCUGAGACCAGCCAUCCUGGGUACCCUAUUCUGCACCGGGGCAUUAUCUGAGCAGACACCUGUCUACUGUAAUAUACCUGGUCACCCUAUUCUGCACCGGGGCAUUAUCUGAGCAGACACCUGUCUACUGUAAUAUACCUGGUCACCCUAUUCUGCAC